rnacentral:lncRNA from 1 species
GGCUCUUAGCAGAUGAAGAGAAGCAUUUUAUAUGGCCCCUAUCAAAUUCUACCAGAAAGACUAAUGAUUAAAGAGGUUUGUGUUACAGGAACCAAGACUUCAUAGCACAUGAAAGAAAAUUGUAUCUAGACUUGAUAAAAAUGAGCCACAAACUGCUACAAAAAUCACCAGGACAAGAAAAACUCACUUAGGUGUUUUUAUCCCAUCCACAUGGAGUGUGAAUGGUUAAGUCAGGUGCUGUGUGAAGAAUGGAAACAUGCAACAAUAAAGACACCAGUCCUGGUGGACCUGAUGGCCUAUGUCUGGUGUGGCGGGGGACAGAUAAGUAAACAGAUCGUCCUAUACGGGGUAGCCAACGCUAUCAUCUGAUAGAAGUAAGCAUGAGGUAAUGUAUUAGUCUGUUCUCAUGCUGCUGUAAAGAACUACCCAAGACUGGGUAAUUUAUAAAGAAAAGAGGUUUGAUUGACUCACAGUUCCACAGGCUGUACAGGAGGCAUGGCUUGGGAAGCCUCGAGAAAUUUACAAUCAUGGCGGAAGGCAAAGGGGAAGCCAGCAUGUCUCACAUGGCAGGAGCAGGAGGAAUAGAGAGCAGGAGGAGGUGCUACACAUUUCAAAAAGCCAGAUCUCAUGAGAACUCACUCACUAUCAUGAGAACAGCAAGGGGGAAGUCCGCCCCCAUGAUCCAGUCACCUCCCACCAGACCCCUCCUCCAACACUGGGAUUACAAUUUGACAUGUGAUUUGGGUGGGGACACAGGGUCAAACCAUAUCAGGUAACAAAACUCCAGUCUCAAAAAUGGUAAGUCAAUUUUAUUGCUAUUAUAAUUCUUAAAACUGGUGUUGAUGAUGAUGAUGAUAGCAGUUAUUUGUACAGUAACAUGCCCAAGACAAAUCCCAAGAGAGGAACAUAAACAAAAUCAAGUGGGGAGAUUUGACUUUGCCCAAGUUCUUCUCAACUAGAAAUUUCUAAAGGUGUUUUGUGUGGAGUGCUGCGCUAUGUGCAGUUUUCAGCUAUUCAACCUCAAGGAUGUCAAAUUGUUGGAAGAGAUUCAAAGAAGGAUAAUCAAACUUGGAUGGAGCUGACUUAAAGAAAUGGGCUAACCUCCAGAAAGAAUGCCAUUGAAUCCAGAGAGAGGUGCCGUUGAAUCAGCCCUUGCUGAUGAAGCCUCUUCACUGUACUGCUCAGACCUCUCCAUCCUGGUGGCAAGGGCUUAGACCAUUAUUCAUGGUCUGACUGGCCUCGAGGUGGCUGUCUCGCCUUUGAAAAAGGGCAGACACAGAGCAUGUUCAGAGCACGGAGCCAUACUGUGCGAUUUCUUCAAAGAGAGCUUAACCACAGAAUUUGGAUUAAUGAAUGACGUAACUGCUUCAGGGCAACACACCCUCACUGCAGCUGCUUAGCCCAGGAAGCAGCAAGGUCAAUACAAGGAGAGCCACAGGCCUGGGGAGAUGCAUGCCUUCCUUCCUGGCCACGUGGAUCUCACUACUUAGCCCAGAUGGCCUGCGAGAAGGACAAAGCCAAGCACUUCACAACACUGUCAGUUGCUGUCCUGAAGAAGGUGGCCAGGAGCUCUAGAAGGAUUCAAAGCCCCAGGGAUUUUUGGUUUUUAUGUAUACACUUCUCUUUACAUACUUGUUCCUCAACAUCCAAUCAGCCUUGCAGGGAUGAUGUAAUAGCCAGAAAAAUAAGUGAACAGAAGAUUCCGGGUUCUACUUUAUGCCAAUUUUUCUUAAAUAUCUCAGUCACUAGAAAAAGAUCUAUUUGAAAAUCUUGCUCUGAGCAGUUUCUGUCUUGGGCCCAGUUGUUUGAGGAGCCUGUUGAAUUUUUAAAUUUAUUAGUGUUCCCAUGCUUCAUUCAUUGGCAUAUAUGUAUAUUCUCUAUACUUUAUAAUUACAAGUAAGCUCUUGAUAAUAAAAAGUAACUGUCA